rnacentral:rRNA from 1 species
UACGAGGGGGGCGAGCGUUGUUCGGAAUUAUUGGGCGUAAAGGGUGCGUAGGCGGCCUGACAAGUCUGAUGUGAAAUCCCUGGGCUCAACCCAGGGCCUGCAUCGGAAACUGUCGGGCUUGAGUAUGGGAGAGGUGAGUGGAAUUUCCGGUGUAGCGGUGAAAUGCGUAGAUAGUCGGGAGGAACACCUGUGGCGAAAGCGGCUCACUGGACCACAACUGACGCUGAGGCGCGAAAGCUAGGGGAGCAAACAGG